rnacentral:lncRNA from 1 species
CGAAGAUCAAUAACAGAAGUUGAGGCUUUACCAAAUACUAGAAGGGUUGGAUGUGCUUUGCUGCGUCGUUACUGUUGUUUGAUUUCUUAAAAAAUCACUGUGUUUUGAUAUAUAACGUGUAUUUUUUUAAGUUUGAUCAAAUUUGUAGAUAAAUAUAUAUCAAAAUUCGUAAUAUCAAAUCGGUAUUUUUUUAUUCAUCAUGAAAAAAAUUCUAUACUUUUCUUUGUUUAGUAUUGUGGAUGUUGUUAUUUUUGCUCUGAACUUUGUCAAAGUUAAAGAAACCAAUGAAAUAUUUAGUUUGGCGGGUGAGAGAAAUGAUAGAGUGUGUUUUAUUCUUAUUUAUAAUGUGUCGAUUUGCUGGGCCUUUUGUGUUGUUAUUUUGUGCCAUUUGCUAACCAACCUAUAUUUAUGUGGGAACAUUUAUAUGUUAGUGGUUGCUUAUACCAUAUUGGUGCUACAAUAUCACAUGAUG